rnacentral:sRNA from 1 species
GACCGUCUUUUGCCGCAAGGUGAAAGAAAAGCCCAUACGGACAGGCGGGUCAGAUGCCGA